AACUUUAGUUAGUAGUUGGUCCCAGUCAGUAACACUCUGGGAGGGCUCAGGCCACAUCACGAAAUGUGACAGGAUAGCCUUGAACUCAUCAAUUGCUGGGUAAGAAAGAAUUUUAAUGCAAUGGCAAACAACCAAUCAAACAAGCAAACAAAAACAAUAAACCCUUCCUUGAGGACCAAGAAGACAUUGAUUAGCUAACCUAAGAGCUCCAGGUGGAGACCUAGGUCCUGAUUGGGUUUCUGAAUUUGACCACUAGGCAGAAAACUAGCACCCAAAACCAGUUGGAAUAAAAUUACCCACCUACAGUGGAGCCAAGGCCCCCAGAUCCUUUUUGUCAGGGGCACCUCAAACUCAACUCCAAAAUUGAUCUAAUGAACUUUCCCAAACCACAUUCCCUUCUUGCAUUUCUGAGAGAAUGGAUUCCCAUUCAUCUGACUACAGUGCUACCCUGAAAGCAGAUCCAGAGACUAAGAUUCACCUGCAGGUGAUUCAUUUGCAAGGUAAGCUGUCAUCAGUUGGAGGUAAGCAGAAGACAGUAGAGAGUACAGAGCCCUGGACUGUGACUCAGAGGAUGAGCACCAGAUCCAGUUUGCUGUGCCACAGUGGUAAGUCACCUAACCUUUAUGUGCUUGGAUUCCUCAUAUGUAAUACAGGAUCAC
rnacentral:lncRNA from 10 species